GAUGAACGCUAGCGGGAGGCCUAACACAUGCAAGCCGAGCGGUAGAGAUUCUUCGGAAUCUUGAGAGCGGCGUACGGGUGCGGAACACGUGUGCAACCUACCUUUAUCUGGAGGAUAGCCUUUCGAAAGGAAGAUUAAUACUCCAUAAUAUAUUGAUUGGCAUCAAUUGAUAUUGAAAGCUCCGGCGGAUAGAGAUGGGCACGCGCAAGAUUAGUUAGUUGGUGAGGUAACGGCUCACCAAGACGAUGAUCUUUAGGGGCCUGAGAGGGUGAUCCCCACACUGGUACUGAGACACGGACCAGGACUCCUACGGGAGGCAGCAGUGAGGAAUAUUGGUCAAUGGGUGCAAGCCUGAACCAGCCUAUCCCGCGUGAAGGACGACUGCCCUAUGGGUUGUAAACUUCUUUUGUAUAGGGAUAAACCUACCCUCGUGAGGUAGCUGAAGGUACUAUACGAAUAAGCAACCGGCUAACUCCGUGCCAGCAGCCGCGGUAAU
rnacentral:rRNA from 1 species